GUUUACUACUAUGCAUCUGUAAAACAGGGAGAGAAGAAAAUAGAAGCAGUAUUAUUUUAGACAUACUAUUUUAACCUAAAGAUGGUGGAGCCUGGCUUUGCAACAUUGCUUUGGCUGAACCCAGCCAGCUCCUUUAAAUGUGAUAAUGUGUCUUGGUUUCUUGAGGGCCCAGAGAUGAAUCUCCUCAUUCACUGUCACUCUUACAGCUUCCUGUGGUUCCUUUUCUGGGGCUCGGUGCACAAACCACUUUCCUUUCUCUAGGGAAGCAAGCAGAAUCCCAUCAAGUCUCAUCACUAUUCCCAGAUGUCACCAGGGUAGGCCUCACUGAUCCCUUCCCUUUCAUGCACAGAGCUGUCAGGAUAGGGGAGGAGCCCUUUAGGUCGGCUAGACACAGCUUUUCUACCUGAUUAUGCUGGUGCUUUUGCUAUGAUGAUUAAGACAAGACACUUGAGAAUCGUGCGCUUCUCAGGUGAGUGAUGAAAACAACAGAAUAGUCGCCUUGUAGGGUUUCUUUGGUCAGUGCUGACAGUUGAACUCAGAGCCUUCAGACUGAGCUAGCUAUACAUAUCAUACCACCACCCCCUUUUUGUUUAAUUUUGAGACAGGGUCUCGCUAAGUUGCCUAGGCUGGGUUUGAACUUGCAGUCCUUCUGCCUCAGCCUCCCAGAGUGCUGUAGUCCCUGGAUUACAGGCCUGUGCCUUCAUGCACAGCCUCUUAAGUUAUGCUUCUUGUAAAAUGCCCACUAACCAUCUUUGGCAGUGUUUCUGACCAGAGGUUCCUUAUGCCCGCUCUACAAAAGUAAAAUCUUUCAGAAUAAAUCCUUCAGUGAAUUCCUGGAUUAUCUUUGCACCUCUCCCUGAUGAUCAUGCUCAGCACAAAAAGACAUUUUGCUGUUUGUGUAUGUGUUGUCUUCCCUAGAACAGUUCAGUUGCCUCAAGUUAGUAUUUCAGUCCUGACCAAUGUAAACCCACGUAAUUAUCCAUCCCACACAUACUCCAGCUACUUUUACUCUUCACAAAUGUACCCAAAUAAAUAUGUUUCUGUAUAUUCAAGCCUGGCAAAUGAAUUCAGGUGACAAAACCUCAUAAUUACUUGGUGUUCUUACACUUAAUGAACAGUCCUAUUUCACUAACUUGGACUUAGGACUCUUGAUGAGCAUGCUCAGGUUGAAAAAAGGCUGGUCUCACCAAUCCAACAUCCAGCAACAUGGUAAAAUUCACAAACUCGUGUCUCAAUAACUUGAUGUAUGUUGUGAUCUAGAGGGAAUGAGAUGAAGUUUAUAUUUGAACUGUGGUAGGGGGUGGGGGGUGGGGGGAUUUGCGUAAGCUAAUAGUGGAGUGAUUGUCGAACAAGAUGACUACAAGAUGAGGUUAUUUUCAUGUGUCCUAGAACCGUUCUUUUACCCAUGAGUGAUUGUGCUAAUUAUAAAAAAUACAUGAAAGCAGGUUCCUUCAGAGAGGUAACAUUUGGUUAGCCAAGCCCAAGUUGUUUGUACUUGAAAGUAAUAAAG
rnacentral:lncRNA from 1 species